rnacentral:rRNA from 1 species
CCUACGGGAGGCAGCAGUGGGGGAUUUUGGACAAUGGGCGCAAGCCUGAUCCAGCAAUGCCGCGUGAGUGAAGAAGGCCCUUCGGGUUGUAAAGCUCUUUUGUCAGGGAAGAAACGGUGAGAGCUAAUAUCUCUUGCUAAUGACGGUACCUGAAGAAUAAGCACCGGCUAACUACGUGCCAGCAGCCGCGGUAAU